CCUACGGGGGGCUGCAGUAGGGAAUAUUGGGCAAUGGAGGCAACUCUGACGCAGCAACGCCGCGUGAGUGAAGAAGGUUUUCGGAUUGUAAAGCCCUUUUGUAAGAGAAGAUUAUGACGGUAUCUGAUAAAUAAGCACCGGCUAACUUCGUGCCAGCAGCCGCGGUAAUACGGAGGGUGCAAGCGUUUCUCGGAAUCACUGGGCGUAAAGGGUGCGUAGGCGGGUUAGUAAGUCAGUGGUGAAAUCCUGGAGCUUAACUACGGAAAUGCUGUUGUAACUGUUACACUUGAAUGACAGAGAGGAUAGUGGAAUUCUUGGUGUAGAGGUGAAAUCCGUAGAUAUAAGGAGGAACAC
rnacentral:rRNA from 1 species